GACGUAGGGCGCGAGCGUUGUCCGGAUUUAUUGGGCGUAAAGAGCUCGUAGGCGGCUUGUCGCGUCGGCUGUGAAAUCCCGUGGCUCAACUGUGGGCGGGCAGCUGAUACGGGCAGGCUGGAGUUCGGUAGGGGAGACUGGAAUUCUUGGUGUAGCGGUGAAAUGCGCAGAUAUCAGGAGGAACACCGGUGGCGAAGGCGGGUCUCUGGACAGUUCCUGACACUGAGGCACGAAGGCCAGGGGAGCAAACGGG
rnacentral:rRNA from 1 species